rnacentral:rRNA from 1 species
GACGAACGCUGGCGGCGUGCCUAAUACAUGCAAGUAGAACGAGUUGCGAACGGGUGAGUAACGCGUGGUAACCUGCCUCAUAGGGGGGGAUAACACUUGGAAACGAUAGCUAAUACCGCAUACUGUUAGAUGGACCUGCGUGGGAUUAGCUAGUUGGUGGGGUAACGGCUCACCUAGGCGACGAUCCCGAGCUGGUCUGAGAGGAUGACCAGCCACACUGGAACUGAGACACGGACCAGACUCCUACGGGAGGCAGCAGUGGGGAAUAUUGCACAAUGGGCGCAAGCCUGAUGCAGCCAUGCCGCGUGUAUGAAGAAGGCCUUCGGGUUGUAAAGUACUUUCAGCGAGGAGGCGUUACUCGCAGAAGAAGCACCGGCUAACUCCGUGCCAGCAGCCGCGGUAAUUC